UGGAACGCACUUAUCAAUCUUAGCAUUAUCACCAAAGAAUAUAAUACUGAGAUUAUCACUAUUAUCAGUCAGCUUGCUCAUUGAGCUUAUCACUAACUAAAUUGUUUUGGAUUCUGUUAUGUUAUGAAACUUAUGAAUAUUGUGCAGUGUAAUAUUAUGUUUGAAAGUUACAUACACAAAUCAUGAACAAAAUAGCAAGAAAUUUUACUAAGCCAGACGUUGUGAAAAAUUUGAAGACCAUUCUACAAUGCACAACUUUUUGCACUCUUUGUUUUGAUACCAAAGAAGAAUUACUACAUUUGGACCAUGUGCUGGUAACAGAAGACUUAGAACAAGAAAAGAUAACUCUUAAAGAACUACUUGAAGCUAUAUUUGGAAAUAUUCAAGACUUAGUUACAAGUGAGUACAUCUGCGAACCAUGCAAAUCCCUAACAUUCAGCAGUUAUUCUUUCAUUCACAAAACCAAAAAUAAUGUCCAUGUCUACAACAAGUACCUCAAGCAACUUCUCAAUGAGACCUCGGAACUGUCGGCAAGUUUCAGCAAUGAUUGGAAAAGAGCUGUAAUUGUUUUAGACAAUUAUAACAAAAUAGAAAAACCUAAAUCCAAGGAGAUAGAAAAAUAUAUUUGUGAUAAGUGUGGAAAAGAUUAUACACGGAAGAGUUUUCUGAUAAAACAUUUAAAGAGACACAAAAUUGAUUCCAAAAUUUUUAGCUGUCCUCACUGUGAUAGAUGGCCAUGCAUACACGAGGAAUACAUACAAGCCUUCAAUGAACAGCGGCAGUUGAAAACCAAACCAAUCUCUUGUUUAUGUGGGUAUAAAUUUAGACAGACCCUACCUCAUCUUAUCGCUCAUGUUAAUAAAGACCAUUUGGAUAUAAAGCCAAAUACUUGUAAAUGUGGAAAGUCAUUUUACUUAGAAAAGCAGUAUUGGAAACAUUUUGAAUACUGUCAUAAUGAUAAGCAUGCUUGCAAAUCAUGUUUCCGAAAGUUCCCUAAUAUAAAGCAUAUGGAAACUUGUGGGGUAACUGAAAAACUGUUUAAUUGUGAUAAAUACCGGGAAACUAAACUUAUGCACCCUAAAAAACUUUCAAAAGUCAAAAGGAACAGAAUAUACAAAUGUCUUAUAUGCGAUAAAGUUCUGAAAACUAAAUUAGAAUUACGCUCACAUAUAAACAAUAAGCAUGAAAAGAAGCCUAACUUAUGUCUGUAUUGCAAUAAACAGUACAAUUCUAGGCAAGAAUAUCUAGAACAUGUUCAAAGUGAAGAGCAUAAAAGCAACAUACCAUACGCUUUUAAGCACCACUGUACUCACUGUGAGUACUCUGCAAAUACUCUAGAUAUGCUAAAAGCGCAUAUAAAUAGAAUUCAUCUAAAUGUCCGACCGUUUGAAUGUGAACAUUGCCAUAAACGGUACUUCGACAGUACUCAACUGAAAAACCAUGUGAAAACACACACCGGGCAGCAGAAACCGAAAGUUUGUGACAUAUGUGGGGCUAAUUUAGCCGGCCCAACAGCUUUAAAGAAGCAUAGAAGAUUACAUACUGGUGAAAACCCUUAUUCCUGUCCGUAUUGCGAAGUAAAAACUAACUGUGCGAGUAGUUUAAAAACUCAUAUAAUGCGGAAACAUAUGGAGCCAACUAUACAGUGUCCGCUUUGCGACCUGAAGUUCCAUACAAUGAACAAUGCUAGAGGACAUGUUAGGAAGACGCAUUGGAAGAGUAAGGAGAAGUUUGAUUAUACCAAGCUAAAGGGACUGUCGCCGGAUGAUUAUGAUUUCUUUAGAGAUAGGAGGAAGGCUGUUGUGUAAUGUAAACUUUAGUGUGAUGGAAAUAAAGAUCAUACA